GCUAAAUUCAAAGUUGUGUUGCGUCACUGGGGAGGACUCCUCGGUACAGUUCAGCUGUGAUUACACUCCUCCUCCUCUUACACAGAACUCUGACAACCUCAGUACUCACUGAAGCCACUGGACAUUACCUCGCUCUUCGGUACAUAGAUGAGAUAUCCAAACAGACAGGUUUUCUGAUUCCAAAGCCAUAUUGAUAUUGGAUGUAUGCAUGUUGUGGUACUAUCUUUAGAGGAUGGUGCAUGUCACUCCUGUUGUGCACUGAUGAGAGGACCAGGCUUCCCAAUGGAUGGAAUGGUGCGUGUGUGGCUGCUGAUAGGGUUCAUCCAGGUGGUCAGUUUCUCUUGUGUCCAGUGCGCCGAGUUGGCGGUCGUGGUUGUUGAGGUUAUGUUUGGCCGCUUCCCCUCUGGUCCAGACUGCUACACUAUCUCCUACAGAACGGCACACAACCUCACGGUGUGGCUUGAUCCUAUUGGCCGCUCUUGAGUGUUCACCUGACUGCAGGCUGCUGCUGCAAUUGGCUGAGGAGCCAGUAGGAAGUGACAUCACAUUGAACGCUAUAAAAAAAAACGCCACACUGGAGACUAAGACCUUUCAUAUUGCUCCUGUCCCCCUCUCCUCUCUCCGUGUCGAGGUGACCACCACCAGUGCUUUGCUGUCCUGCACCCUACAGAACCAACAGACUCUCACUGCCCUCACUCUUCACUAUCAUGCACACCAAACACACACACACUGAACACACACACACUGACCACACACACAACUCCUCGUACGCAGUGAGAGGUCUGCAGCCUGGAGCACACUACAGCAUCACAGCAGAGUUGACCACGCCCUUCACACACCUCAACAUCAGCCUCACCCAGAGACUACACACCACCAUGGAGACAGCCCAAUGUCCUAUUGGUUGGCUGGCAAGCGGAAGGAGCUACUAUAGUGUGAGUAGGUAGAGCCUGUCAUGGGCCGACGCCCAUGUAUGGGCGUGGCUUCAGGAGGUCACCUGAUAGACGUUAAAACAGAGACAGACCUCCUCCUCCUCUCCUCUCACCUGACCACACAUAACAACCUGCUACUGCUCUGGACCGCUCUCAAUGACAGAAAGGAUAAGAGGUGGCCCCACUCGUCCGAUGGCUCCUCCUACAACAUGGCUAGUGCUAUCAUUAUCGCUGCUAGCCAAUCAGACGGACUGUUUUGCCCUGCAGAAGAACUCUACUGGACCCGGCUACUUUCUUACGCCGUUCUUCUGCCACAUCCUUUUACCCUUUAUCCGUUACUGGGAAACAGAAAGAAAAGCAGAUAUCCACUGGAGUGACGUCACCCCCCAGCUCUAUGUCCAAUACAAAGAUCAGGAGGAAGGGGAAGAAAAUGGGGAAGAGGAGAAAGAAAGGGAGAAGAGAAGUGCAGGUCGUGUCCCAGUGUCCCUGUUGUCCAGAGGGCUGAAGGUGCCAGGUCUGAAGAUCUACUCUCUGUCCCUCAGAGCCUCUCACCUCGCUGGGGCCGCUUGAAGCCUUGGGAACACGCACAUCACUCACACACGGCCCCUUACCCCUCGGAACAUCACCAUUUGCAAUGUGACAGCCAGUCAGAUCACAGUAAGCUGGACGGCCCCAGACUCCCAGCAUGCUGUGCAGUGGGGCUUCCUGGUUUGCUGGGGGGAUGUAGCUUCAGGCCAGGAGAGGAGAAGGGGCGUGGCCAGCAGUUCCAGGUCGACUGUGAUUGGAGGACUGGAGGGGUUCAGGAAGUACAGGGUCAGAGUUAACUCCGUCACAGAACAUGAUGUGGCAAGUAGUGGAGGAACUGACCAUACACACUGCGCUGAACCCCCCAGGUGGUGUGUAUGUUUCUAGCAGAGGGGAGAAUCUGACAACGUGUUGGCCGACCCUGUCAGGUGCGUGUGUGUACUUCUGCCGUCACCCAGCAGUGUGAGAGAGGGCUCAGUAACAGAGUCGUCAGUAGAGAUGCUUUGGGAUCCAGCCCCUGGACAUGGACACAACUAUGAAGUCAUCUGUCUCGACUGUCAUCACACGCUUAUGGUACUUCUGUAGAGUGUGUGUGUGUGUGUUUAUAAAGUGUGUGUGCAUGUAUACUGUGUGUAUGUGGUCGAGUAUCUGUAUAAUGUGUGUGUAUGUGGUCGAUUAUCAAAUCAAGUGCCAUGUAGACUAAGAGUGAAAUGCUUACUUAAGCAGCAUUUUUUGGGCCCUUCCUAACAUUGCAAAGAGAAAACAAGAGAAAUUAUAGAAAAAUAAUAACACCAGGAAUAAAUAUCCAAUGGGUCCAAGCGUAAGGACUUCAGGAAACAGCAGAGGGAACACCCCCUUAUCCACAUCGAUGGAACAGUAGUGGAGAGGGUAGUAGGUUUUAAGUUCCUCGGCGUACACAUCACAGACAAACUGAAUUGAU